AUCGCUUCUUGGCCUUUUGGCUAAGAUCAAGUGUAAAAAAUAACUAUUUUAUUUAGAGACAGAGUCUUUUUGAGUUGCUUAGAGCCUUGGGGGUUGCUGAGGCUGGCUUUGAAUUCUAGAUCCUCCUGCCUCAGCCUCUGAGCUGCUGGAAUUACAGGUAUGUGCCCAGCUGGUCAGUUUUACU